rnacentral:rRNA from 1 species
UACAGAGGUCCCGAGCGUUGUUCGGAUUCAUUGGGCGUAAAGGGUGCGUAGGCGGCGGGGCAAGUCUGAUGUGAAAUCCCGGGGCUCAACCCCGGAACUGCAUUGGAUACUGCCUUGCUUGAGGACUGGAGAGGAGACUGGAAUUCAUGGUGUAGCAGUGAAAUGCGUAGAGAUCAUGAGGAAGACCAGUGGCGAAGGCGGGUCUCUGGACAGUUCCUGACGCUGAGGCACGAAGGUCAGGGGAGCAAACGGG